rnacentral:lncRNA from 1 species
AUGGUCUGGAGGGUGCUUGACGUGGAUGGCUGGUAUUAUAUGGGGACAGAAUACCUGGAGUGCCGCAUCUGUAAGAGGAAGCUAGCAGGAUGGUUGCUGGAUGUCUUGAACCAGCUUGGACGCAAGUCAUCGCGCUAAGUUCCCAGACAUCUUGACUUACAGGGAAACUCAUUGGGGUCGAGUAUCUCUUUUUCCAGACCGAUGGUGACCAGAAGCUGGAGUCCAACCUCGGUAAGGACCUGGAUGUCCCAGACGGGACACCUGAUUCUCUGAUCCACCUCUACGCAGACGACACCAUUCUGUAUACUUCUGGCCCUUCUUUGACACUACAUGAACUAACCUCCAGACGAGCUUCAAUGCCAUACAACUCUCCUUACGUGGCCUCCAACUGCUCUUAAAUGCAAGUAAAACUAAAUGCAUUGUCACGCCCUGACCUGAGAGAGACGGUUUGUUUCUCUAUGUGGUUAGGUCAGGGUGUGGGGUGGGCAUUCUAUGGUGUCUAUUUCUUUGUGUUGUGCCGAGUA